rnacentral:misc_RNA from 1 species
GAUGAAGAACGCAGCGAAAUGCGAUAAGUAAUGUGAAUUGCAGAAUUCUGUGAAUCAUCGAAUCUUUGAACGCAUCUUGCGCUCCUUGGUAUUCUGAGGAGCAUGCCUGUUUGAGUGUCAUUAAAUUCUCAACUACACUGACUUUGAAUUGGUGUGGCUUGGAUUUGGGGGGAAAAUUGUUGUGGGCUUUUUGUAUAGUCUGCUCCCCUGAAAUUGAUUAGCGGUACCUUUGUGGAACUGUCUACAGGUGUGAUAAUUAUCUACAUCUUAGACAUCUGCUGGAAUGCUGCUCUCUAAACCUUACUUGUAUUGACAAUCUUGACCUCAAAUCAGGUAGGACUACCCGCUGAACUUAAGCAUAUCAAUAAGCGGAGGA